CGAUAAAUAUACCCCAUCCCAUCGAAUCCUCUGUUUUGACUUUGGACAUCACAUUCCGGGUUCUGAGGUUUUUGCUCUCCGAGGAAAAGCACCGGAACUCUGUUCCUGCUUCUCCUCUCCUCUCCUCGACUCCCUUGUCCUCAUCAGAUCUCUCUGACUCCUCUGCUUUUCGGGAUAAUCGGUGAUUCACGCCCCUGCUGCUAGUUUCUGUUAACGUCAAUUCAACCCUUCCGUCUCCGAUUCACUGGUUUCUUCGGUGAAAAUGGCUCCGAUCUUCUGCUAGGGUCUCCUAGAUCCCCCUGCUCACUCUCCGACAUCACUCUGUACCUUUACUUCUUCGCGCUUAUCAAAUUUGUAGUUAUGGCUAUCCGAGUUACUUUAUCCUACUCCGGCUACUUUGCCCAGGGCCUGGCCUCCGCCGGUUGUCGUGCUGGUAAUUCGCGUUGCCUCCACGAAUGCUGGAUCCGAUCUCGGGUAUUCGGCCCUAGCCAGAAACCUGACCGUGAUCCCUCCGGUGGCGUGCGUAAUUACCAUUCCGAUUACGGGCGGCCUAAACCGAAUUGCUGGGCUAAGAAUUCAGCCUCUUUGUAUUCUACUAUCUCCAAAGAAAUUCUGGGAGAUAAUUCUGAUAAUCCGAUCAUGUUGGGUUUGAUUUCGCUAUUGAAGUCAACUGGUUCGGUAUCGUCGUCGUCUGUGGCGACUGUGUCGGUAUCUGGUGUUUUGCCGACCAACGCCUCUUCGAUUAUUCCCUUUUUAAAGGGAUCGAAGAGCCUUCCUAGCAACGAGUCGACUCCUGUCCCUGCAACUUUUGAGGUGGAUAAAGGAGGGACACUGUGUUAUAACGGCAGUGAUGAUGCGAAUUCAGGGUACGGUCCCCAAGGUCUUGAGAAGUCGAGUUGGCUAUCGCGCUUGUUGAACGUCUGUUCAGAGGAUGCUAAGGCUGUGUUUACUGCUGUGACUGUUAGUGUGCUCUUUAAAUCAUUCUUGGCUGAACCGAGAUCAAUUCCUUCGUCUUCUAUGUGCCCAACUCUGGAAGUCGGUGACCGUAUUUUAGCGGAGAAGGUUUCAUUCCUUUUCAGAAAGCCUGAUGUUUCAGAUAUAGUUAUAUUCGAAGCACCUCCAAGUUUACAGGAAAAAGGUUUUAGUUCGGCUGAUGUAUUUAUUAAGAGAAUUGUGGCAAAGGCUGGGGACUGUGUAGAGGUUCGUGAUGGAAAACUGCUGGUGAAUGGUGUUGCUCAAGAUGAAGAAUUCGUUUUAGAGCCCCUUUCUUAUGAGAUGGAUCCAGUGGUUGUGCCAGAAGGUUGUGUCUUUGUGUUGGGAGACAAUCGUAAUAAUAGCUAUGACUCACAUAAUUGGUAAUUCCUCAGUCUCCUUGUUAGUACUGAUUUUCCGUUGCUCUUUGGAUGAUAAGUUGGUUUAGGUGGAGAUUCACUUUGGCCCGUUCAUAGAUGAAGGUCUUCUCGAAACUUGUUUAUGGGUCCGCUUCCUGUAAAGAACAUUGUUGGUAGAUCCAUGUUUCGGUACUGGCCUCCUUCUAAAGUAUCUGACACCCUUUAUAAAUCACCAAGUGCAAACAAUUCUCUGGCUGUUUCUUGACACGUCCUAUGCUGUCAAAAGGUGAUGAAGGUUUUUAGAUGACAAUUAUUUGAUCCAUCGGCUAUUGUUGACAUUCAACAAUCUUCCAAGAUGAGACCGACCGUCGUGAAUUCUGUGCGGGUCGAAUAUUUAUUCAUCGUUGUAAUUGAUGUAAAUUUUGUAUAUGACCUUAGAGCGAACACCGAUCCAUUCUUUGCUGUGACAAGUUUUGCUCCACGGUGUGAAGCUCGGAUUUGAAAAAUAGAAGAAAACGAAAGAAACAAUGUGGUUGAUUUGGGUCGUAUUGGAUGUUUUAAGUCUUCUGGAUCUGGAUCCGUGAAAAUUGUUCAUGGGGAUGGAGCUAAUGUCUGAGCAUAAGGUCCAUAGUGAAGCCUCCAAAUCUUUGCGGAGCAAAGUCAGCAAUGUAUUUGCAAGGGCAUGAUGAUGCUCACGUGUCUUGUAAACAUUUACAAAUUAACGUUCAAUUCCAGAAUGAAUUUCUGAA